rnacentral:tRNA from 1 species
GGGUCGGUAGCCGAGCGGUCAGGCAUACGCCUUUUAAGCGUAAAGACGUUGGGUUCGAAUCCCACCCGACCCA